rnacentral:RNase_P_RNA from 1 species
UCAGUUGGCCGGGCGGCCGCUCUGUAAGUUGGCGCGUAAUUGCCGGCGGAGAGGAAAGUCCGGGCUCCACGGAAACACGGUGCCGGGUAACGCCCGGCGGGGGCAACUCCAGGGAAAGUGCCACAGAAAGUAAACCGCCGCGCCCCCCAUUGCGGGAUGCGCGGCAAGGGUGAAAGGGUGCGGUAAGAGCGCACCGCGCCCCUGGCGACAGGGGUGGCACGGCAAACCCCACCGGGAGCAAAACCGAAUAGGGAUGGCACGGGACGUUCGCGUUCCAGGCUGGUUUCGGGCCGCCGUCCGGGUUGGUUGCUUGAGGCGUCCGGCAACGGGCGUCCCAGAUGAAUGGCCGCCAUGCGGGCUCGCCCGCAUACAGAACCCGGCUUACAGGCUGGCUGACGCU